rnacentral:rRNA from 1 species
GAUGAACGCUGGCGGCGUGCCUAAUACAUGCAAGUCGAGCGAACGGACGAGAAGCUUGCUUCUCUGAUGUUAGCGGCGGACGGGUGAGUAACACGUGGAUAACCUACCUAUAAGACUGGGAUAACUUCGGGACACCGGCGCUAAUACCGUAUAAUAUUUUGCACCGCAUGGUUCAAAAGUGAAAGACGGUCUUGCUGUCACUUAUCGCUGCAUCCGCGCUGCAUUAGCUAGUUGGUAAGGUAACGGCUUACCAAGGCAACGAUGCAUAGCCGACCUGAGAGGGGGAUAGGCCACACGGGAACUGAGACACGGUCCAGACUACUACGGGAGGGAGCAGUAGGGAAUCGUCCGCAAUGGGCGAAAGCCUGACGGAGCAACGCCGCGUGAGUGAUGAAGGUGUUCGGAUCGUAAAAAUCUGUUAUUAGGGAAGAACAGAUGUGUAAGUAACUGUGCACAUCUUGACGGUACCUAAUCAGAAAGCCACGGCUAACUACGUG